GGGGAAUUUUGGACAAUGGGCGCAAGCCUGAUCCAGCCAUUCCGCGUGCAGGAUGAAGGCCCUCGGGUUGUAAACUGCUUUUGUACGGAACGAAAAGCGCUUAGUUAAUACCUCGGCGUCAGGACGGUACCUGGAGAAUAAGCUUCGGCUAACUCCGUGCCAGCCGCCGCGGUAAUACGGAGGGAGCUAGCGUUGUUCGGAAUUACUGGGCGUAAAGCGCGCGUAGGCGGCUUUGCAAGUCGGGUGUGAAAUCCCCAGGCUUAACCUGGGAACUGCAUUCGAGACUGCAUUGCUAGAGUAUGGGAGAGGGAAGUGGAAUUUCCGGUGUAGCGGUGAAAUGCGUAGAUAUCGGAAGGAACAUCAGUGGCGAAAGCGACUUCCUGGACCAAUACUGACGCUCAUGUGCGAAAGCGUGGGGAGCAAA
rnacentral:rRNA from 1 species